GAGGAGAAGAAGAAGGAAUAGAGGAGAAGAAGAAAAAAUAGAAUAAUAUAUUAUUCUAUUUCUUCUUCUUCUCCUCUAUUUCUUCUUCUUCUACUC
rnacentral:pre_miRNA from 1 species